UACGUAGGGGGCAAGCGUUGUCCGGCUUUAUUGGGCGUAAAGAGCGUGUAGGCGGCUUUACAGGUCCGUUGUGAAAACUCGAGGCUCAACCUCGAGACGCCGGUGGAAACCGUAAAGCUAGAGUCCGGAAGAGGAGAGUGGAAUUCCUGGUGUAGCGGUGAAAUGCGCAGAUAUCAGGAAGAACACCCGUGGCGAAGGCGGCUCUCUGGGACGGUACUGACGCUGAGACGCGAAAGCGUGGGGAGCGAACAGG
rnacentral:rRNA from 1 species